UACAGAGGUCUCAAGCGUUGUUCGGAUUCAUUGGGCGUAAAGGGUGCGUAGGUGGCGCUGUAAGUCGGGUGUGAAAUUUCGGAGCUUAACUCCGAGACUGCAUUCGAUACUGCGGUGCUUGAGGACUGGAGAGGAGACUGGAAUUCAUGGUGUAGCAGUGAAAUGCGUAGAGAUCAUGAGGAAGACCAGUGGCGAAGGCGGGUCUCUGGACAGUACCUGACACUGAGGCACGAAGGCCAGGGGAGCAAACGGG
rnacentral:rRNA from 1 species